rnacentral:rRNA from 1 species
UCCUACGGGAGGCAGCAGUGGGGAAUAUUGGACAAUGGGCGCAAGCCUGAUCCAGCCACGCCGCGUGAGUGAUGAAGGCCUUCGGGUCGUAAAGCUCUGUGGGAGGGACGAACCGCCGGGUAUUAAUACCAUCCGGCAUGACGGUACCUCCUUAGCAAGCACCGGCUAACUUCGUGCCAGCAGCCGCGGUA